rnacentral:lncRNA from 1 species
CUUUCUACUCUCCUUUUGGAAAUUAGUCUUGAACCUCACCGUGACAGCUUCUAGACUCAAAAGCUAUUGUGCACCCCACUCUGAACAGACUGCUUCACUUCUGGUCAGUUGUCAGAAGCACGUGCCAAAAUAAACUACAUCCUCUCCCCAUAUCGACUUCCAGUCCUGGGGUUGGGAUUGGAGUGAGGAUUCGAGGUGCUACUUUUCACUUGCUGUUAAGAUCUCUCUCUUUUAUUUCUGGAAACUGAAGAAGGAAAAUGACUCAAGAUACACAUUUAUUGGAUCUUGUCACUAGUUUAAGAUAAGAAACGUCGUCCUUCACACUGAGGAUAAAACUAUUAUUUCCUCUUUGGAAAAAGUACCUGUAAAUUUAGAUGUUGCUUCUAAUAUAUGAAUUUAUUAAGAUGGAUACAACUUCAACUUUAAAGCUUACCUAAACUGAUUUGCUAACACUGAACUAAACAGUAAUUAAUGGAGAAAUGGUGAACUGAAAUCACUCAUUGCAUAUUAUCUUUAAGAAUUACCUAAUCAUAUGGAGCUGCUUGUGGGCAGGGUCAAAGACUGAUUUAUUUUUGUAUUUUCAGGAACCAGAUCAACGCUUGCUAUAACAAGUACUAUGUAAAUGCUUGCAAUUUAGUGACUCAAAAUUGUUAUUUUUCCACAGCAUGAAAAAUGGUUAAAGAACUGCAGUUACUUAAUGGCCAGUAGAGGGCAAUAAAGUUAAUUUUAAG